rnacentral:ncRNA from 1 species
AUGGGUAAGGGUAACUCUGAAAUCCCAUCUUGUGGCUGAAUCAAUCUAAACUCAGAGAGAUAAAGCAAUAGCACAGAGGUUAUACUCACUUUGACGUAGACUAACCAUCUAUGAGGAGAAUCAACGUAACUGUUGGGUGUUAGGUACAAGGGCAAAAAAAUCUGAGUCGAGAGUUGUUGGUAAUCGCUAAUCCAACAUCCC